rnacentral:rRNA from 1 species
AACAAACGCUGGCGGCGUGCCUAAUACAUGCAAGUCGAACGAUGAUGGGUAGCUUGCUACCCUGAUUAGUGGCGCACGGGUGAGUAUACCAUAGAUAAUGUACCUCUUAGUUCGGGAUAGCCACUGGAAACGGUGAUUAAUACCGGAUACUCCUUCUUGUCUUAAGGCAAGUCGGGAAAGUUUUUUCGCUAAGAGAUCAGUCUAUGUCCUAUCAGCUAGUUGGUGAGGUAAUGGCUCACCAAGGCAAUGACGGGUAUCUGGUUUGAGAGGAUGAUCAGACACACUGGAACUGAGACACGGUCCAGACUCCUACGGGAGGCAGCAGUGAGGAAUAUUGCACAAUGGAGGAAACUCUGAUGCAGCAACGCCGCGUGGAGGAUGACGCAUUUCGGUGUGUAAACUCCUUUUAAGAGGGAAGAUAAUGACGGUACCUCUUGAAUAAGCACCGGCUAACUCCGUGCCAGCCGCCGCCGUAACAC